rnacentral:rRNA from 1 species
GACGAACGCUGGCGGCGUGCCUAAUACAUGCAAGUUGAGCGCUGAAGGUUGGUACUUGUACCAACUGGAUGAGCAGCGAACGGGUGAGUAACGCGUGGGGAAUCUGCCUUUGAGCGGGGGACAACAUUUGGAAACGAAUGCUAAUACCGCAUAAAAACUUUAAACACAAGUUUUAAGUUUGAAAGAUGCAAUUGCAUCACUCAAAGAUGAUCCCGCGUUGUAUUAGCUAGUUGGUGAGGUAAAGGCUCACCAAGGCGAUGAUACAUAGCCGACCUGAGAGGGUGAUCGGCAACAUUGGGACUGAGACACGGCCCAAACUCCUACGGGAGGCAGCAGUAGGGAAUAUUCGGCAAUGGACGAAAGUCUGACCGAGCAACGCCGCGUGAGUGAAGAAGGUUUUCGGAUCGUAAAACUCUGUUGGUAGAGAAGAACGGUGGUGAGAGUGGAAAGCUCAUCAAGUAACGGUAACUAACCAGAAAGAGACGGCUAACUACGUG